rnacentral:lncRNA from 1 species
UGGGGCUGCGUAGCCGAUGGUGCCUUUCAAACCAACAGAGCUAGUUUGGUUUGAAGCUUCCGAAUGGAACCUCGCUAAUCCAAAGUCUCCAACAUGAGCAGUCAUGUUAGUGUCUAGAAGAAUAUUGCUUGGCUUCAAAUCGCAAUGAAUGAUAGGCAUUUGACAACCGUGAUGCAAAUAGUUCAGUGCGCUAGCCACAUGAAUUGCAAUGUUUAACCUAUGCGUGAGAUCCAAAGCUUUUGGCUCGCUUGCCUCGUCUGAUGUUUGAACUGGAUGCAACCACUCUUCUAGACUUCCAUUGACCAUGAACUCGUAAACUAGAGCUUUAAAAUCAUUACCUUGGAAAUCAAUGCUGGAACAUGUAGUCAAUAACCUGACAAGAUUCCGAUGCCUGAUGCUCUUCAAAGCUUCACAUUCUGCCAUAAAACUUUUGGAGGCUCCUUUACGUAGAAGGUUGAGAACUUUCACUGCAACGACUAUGUUAUCUGUUCCGAGAAUUCCUUUGAAGACAGACGCAAACCUUCCUUCACCAAUUAAAUUUGCUGAAGAGAACCCAUCAGUUGCCCCGAGGAGAUCUUGAUAGGUUACUCUAGGAAAUGAGGUCUCCAAUGAAGGCUGAGAAGCAGCAGGCUUAGCUUUCUUCUUUCUCAAGCAAUAGAAAAGCAAGAAAGAGAUGAUCAAGAUCACUCCCAGAAAGCCACAAACACUUCCGAUUAUCCAUAUCAGCUUGGUCGGAGAUUUCGAAUUGGUUUGCUCACUGGAUGGGCAUCUGGUCAGAUUUAACUGGGGUAUUCCCCCACAAAGCUUCUUGUUUCCGAAAAUAGAAAUUGCACUUGUAUUCUGAAAGGCUCCUUGGACUGGCACCUCACCUUCAAGGUCAUUAAAAGAAAUAUCCAGACUCUCCAAUAAUUUAAAGUUCUCCAAGAACUCAGGAAUUUGGCCUGUUAGGUUGUUGUUGUUGGUGGAAGAAACUACUGGUGGUGGCUUUGAAACACUCAGAGGGGAUAAAACACGAAGUUUUAUUACAAAAAAACAGAAGCUUAACAAUAACAAUAAAGCUUUACAAUACACACCCUCUCUCUCUCUAUAUCUAUUGUUUUUCUCUUCUCUCCACACUUAUAAUAACCUUAGCUUAGAUGCUUAUUUAUACUCAAAUUCAGUCGGCUCAAAAUUCAACCGUCAUGGUGUGAAAGCGGUUGGCGGCCAAUUGUGUGAAUGCGGCUAGGCGGUGGCAGCUGGUGGCUGGUGGCCGGUGAGGCGGUGGUUGCCUUCCUUGACCUUCUGGAUGUUGAGUUUAAUAUUCAACAAAUCUCCCCCUUAAACUCAAUCGAGGGAUGUCAUGCCUAGCAUGUACUUUAAUUUGAUAAAUACUUCUCUUUUCAAUGGCUUUGUGAAGAUGUCUGCAACUUGAUCAUUUGUGUUGCAAGAUAUCAGUUGAACUUCUUCAUUCUUCACAUGUUCCCGGAUAAAGUGAUGACGUGUAUCAAUAUGUUUGCUCCUCUCAUGAUACACUGGAUUCUUUGCCAAUGCGAUUGCUGAUCGGUUGUCAAUAUAAAUCUCCGUAGGAUUUUCUUGAGGAAAUCCCAAAAACUUCAGCAUAUUCCUUAACCAUAUUGAGUGGCAUACGGCUGAGUUGGCAGCUACAUAUUCAGCUUCACAGCUUGAUAACGUGACAAUCGAUUGCUUCUUGGAUGACCAUGUGAAAGAUGUGUCUCCCAUGAAAAAGACAAACCCUGUUGUGCUUUUCCUUUCAUCCAAAUCUCUACCCCAAUCACUAUCCGAGUAGCCUACAAGAUUAAAGUCUUUACUUGAGGUAUAAAACAUACCUUCAUUCAUUGUGCCUUUGAUGUAGCGAAGAAUUCUCUUGGCUGCAUUCAAAUGAGACUGGUCUGGUGUCUCCAUGUAUCUGCUGACGAGUCCGACUCCGUAGAGUAUAUCCGGUCUGGUACAUGUCAAGUACCUUAAGCUUCCUACUAAGCUUUUGAAAUAAGUUGGAUCAACAUUUCCAACCUUACUCUUCCUCAAUUCCACUCCAUUCUCAACUGGAGUUGAUACCGGAUUGCAGCUUUCCAUCUUGAACCUUUCAAGAAUAUCUUUGGCGUAACCGCUUUGGGAUACAAAAAUCCCUUCUUCCUUCUGCGUUACUUCUAAGCCAAGAAAAUGUGACAUUAGACCAAUGUCGGUCAUUUCAAACUCUUGUACCAUGCUUCGUUUGAAAUCGUCAAACAUGGUAGGGUUGUUGCCGGUGAAUAUCAAAUCAUCAACAUACAGGCACGCAAAUAAGAUGCUGCCAUCUGCUCCUUUCUUCACAUAUAUAUCGUGUUCAUAUGGACAUUUCUCAAAUCCAUUAUCUUGAAAAUACCUGUCAAUUCUGGUAUUCCAAGCACGCGGAGCUUGCUUCAAACCAUAGAGAGCCUUCCAUAUAUCAUGUGAUGUUUCAGCGGAAGCUAUUAUCUCGAAUGUAUCUUCAUCAAGACCUUGAUAGAUGAUGGUCUUUGCCUUGUUGUCCUUCUUUCUGUUGACUUUAAGAACUUGCUUAUGUGCCUCUUGUAAAGCAUCUUCUCUUUCUUUGGACUCUGGUUCAUCAUAACCAGUUUGUACAAUAUCCAAACACUCUUGUGACCCAAGGAAUGCCUUCAAUUUGAUGCACCAACUAUCAUAGUUGUCUUUGGUCAGCUUCGGGAUGAGUGUAUGUGUACCUUCUGUAGUCAUUUUGCUCUUUGAAUGACUAUAUCACCUUUCUGGGAGCCGAAUUUGGCCAAACGGACACUGUAGAUCGAUCCGGAAUGGUCCAAAUAGUAGGGAACCGGUCUGACUUUGUUGAAAUCGGGUCAGAAAAUGGGUGAACCGGUCAAAAAACCAAUUCUAUACGGCGGGCGGUUCGCUGGGUUGAACCGGGAAUAUUCUGUGGAAUAUUUGGGGAAUAUUCUCUCGGCGCGCUGGCGGCUGGAAGCUGCUCGGCUCGGCUCGGCUUAGGCGGCUUAAACGGCUGAAAUAUGGCGCGCGUGGACGACACUCGUCGUCUUCCUCUGGAGCGCGUGAGUGACAGUCACCGGAUCUUCAGGCGGCGCAUGUGGAUCACCCCGGACUCCGAUCAGGCUGAUUUUUGCGGCAGUGAGUUCGUCUUGAUGAGGUCUACACUGUGGAGUGAUUCAAACUUGUUUUUGACAACUUUGAAAUUUCAGAUAUACCCCACAACUCUUCUGUUUUCCGACGAACGGGGCUCUGAUACCAAUUGUUGGUGGGAGAAACCACUGGUGGUGGCUUUGAAACACUCAGAGGGGAUAAAACACGAAGUUUUAUUACAAAAAACAGAAGCUUAACAAUAACAAUAAAGCUUUACAAUACACACCCUCUCUCUCUCUAUAUCUAUUGUUUUUCUCUUCUCUCCACACUUAUAAUAACCUUAGCUUAGAUGCUUAUUUAUACACAAAUUCAGUCGGCUCAAAAUUCAACCGUCAUGGUGUGAAAGCGGUUGGCGGCCAAUGCUAUGAAUGCGGCUAGGCGGUGGCAGCUGGUGGCUGGCGGCUGGUCGGUGAUAGCUGGUGGCCGGUGAGGCGGUGGUUGCCUUCCUUGACCUUCUAGAUGUUGAGUUUAAUAUUCAACAGUUGCAGGAGAGAUUAAGUUCUUGAAUUGCUCUCAAAGAACUCAAAGUGUUAGGGAUUGGCCCUUGCAAAAAGUUUUCCUCCAAAUACAAACUUUCCAAACUCAUGAAAGCUUAUUUUUAGAAACGUCCAGAUAUCCAAGAUUCACCAACUUCUCCAUUUCUAUCGGAAGAGAUCCUGUCAGGUCAUUCUCCGAUAGUACCAAGUAAAUUGAUAAGGAUGGGAUACUAACUAGUUCUUUUGGAAUGGGGCCACUCAAAUUAUUUUGCGAGAGAAGCAAGAACAAUAACUUCUGCCAAUUUCCCAGACUUGGUGGAAUGCUUCCCUCUAAAUUAUUGAGUCUCAUGUUAACUCUCUCUAAAGAAGUCAUAUUCCCCAUUGAAGAUGGGAUCAUCCCAGAGAUUUUGUUUCCAUUAAGAAAUAGAGCACCCAGCUUCUGUAGUUUCCCCAUAGAACUUGGUAUCAUGCCAGUCAAUUGAUUUUUAUCCAACCCUAAAACCACCAAGUUGACGAGGUUUCCAAUUUCGGCUGGAAUGCUCCCACGGAUUUGAUUCCUCGCAAAUGCCAUCCUCAUAAGCUUUGUGGAGAAGUUGCUUAUUAUUUCAGGAAGCACCCCUCCAAAAUUGUUAUUACUUGUAUCCAAAACCUCCAAACUAGUCAUGUUAUUUGCUAAAGGAUAGACAAAAUUCAAGUCAUUAAUUUCACCUUUUCCCAGAUUAUUAUUAACAACACGCAAAACUUGCAAAUCAUGUGAGCUUGACAGUGGUGGAACUUUUCCAUUGAAGUUGUUAUUUCCAAUGUCAAAAGAAAGGAGAUUUGAAGCAUUAGAGAAAGUUGCAGGAAUUAGCCCACCGAAUUGGUUAGUGGCGAUAUUAAACACUUGAAGGUUUAGAAGAGUUAGGCCUAAGGUAUGAGGAAGACUCCCAUAAAGCUGGUUAACUGGGAAAGAUAGUAGAGUAAGAGAAGAGAGAUUGAAUAUAGAAGGAGGAAUCAUACCAGAUAGAUUAUUUACACCAAGCGAGAGUUUUUUCAAUCGUUUCAAUUGUCCUAAAACAUUCGGAAUACUUCCUUCCAAAUUAUUUAUGUACCUAUAAAUUACAUUGAUAGCUGACAGAUUUCCAAAAGAAUAUGGUAUCUCGCCAACAAAAUUAUUGAGUUGAAAAGUCAGUACCUGCAACUUUGAUAAUAACCCAAGUUCGGCAGGAAAUUUGCCUGUCAAGUUGCCUCUACUGAGAUCAAGGAUUCGGAGGUUUGCACAACGCGAGAUGUUGGUAGGGAUUCCACCAUCGAACGUGUUGUUCCUGAGGACCAACUCCUCCAGACGAAACAAACGACCUAACUCUUGAGGGAUAUAAAGGCUUAAGCUAUUAUUUGCCAAGUUUAAUAUCCUGAGGAAACUCAAGUUGCCUGUGUGGGGAGAUAGGCUGCCCACUAGCUGGUAAGAGUGUAGGUCAAGCUCCACAACCCUUUGAUGGCGGCGUCCACAAGUAACACCUGACCACCGGCAGAAGUGGGACGAUUCAUUCCACGAGCUUAGCUUACCAAGGGGGUCGCCGGUUAUUUGAGCUUUAAAAGCCAGCAGGGAGAGUCUGUCGGUCUCAUUUCCUCCAUAUACCGGGAAGGAAAAAGAAACGAGUAGAUAUAUUUGCAAGAAGAUUGGCCACAAUAUCCAUGAACUCAUGCCAGGCAGCAUCAUUUUGACGCUAAUCUCCAGAGCUUUACUAGUACUGAUUAUUGAAGGUAUUGUAAACAAUAUUGUUAUAUGAUGAACGUGGAGGCUUGGAGCUGUAAAUUGCUUACUUUUGACUACAGAUGAAUGAUCAUGAGGACACGGUAGUUAAUGAAAAAGCUAGAGCCGACAAAGAUUUUAAGAUGUACUAUCGCGAGAGAAUAAUUGCUAUGCUGUGUUGUGUGAAAGUCGAUAAAAAAAGAUGAAGAAAAAACGUGUAAACUGUUUUGCUUUUCUUCUGUGUGUAAUCGGUCAAUAAUUGCUUGAGUUUUGAAAUGUUUUAAUAAUUCAUUUACAUGCGUUUCAAAUGGGUUAUAAAAAGGGAAAAAUUGCGUGCUCCUCGUGGCUCUCUUGACGUGGUCGUCAAUGCAAAUUUCUGGACCAUAUCUUAAUUAAUUUCUUAAUUCUUGAGAACAAAGUCCAAGUCAAACCAUCCAUGCCCAUUAUCUCGUUGCAUUAAAACAAAAACAUUAAUUUAUGCACAUUUUUAGCACCAGCGAUCGACCAUAACUUGUUUUAAAAAUUAUAGCAGUAAAUUGUAGAGAAAGAAAUUUGAGUUUCUUAAGCUCUAAAAUUGCAACUAAAUUAUAAUGUGAAUAUAUAAUAAUCUUAAACCAUGCAAAAUUAACAUACUAAUUGUUUUAAAUAGAACACUUAAACUAGAGAACUCACAGCAAGUAAGAUUUUGAAACCCAACUAUGAAAAGAACAUAAAAAUAACUAUGAAACAAUAUUUUUUAUAUCUAAUUAAUUUGGGUAUGAUUAGAGUCAACUGAUUCACUAUAAAAUCAGAUUUAUAAAAUACACUUGAAAUUUUUUAACUUAAUCCACUCAUGGAAUUAAAAAAUCACAGACAUUUUUAUUGAAAAAAAAUAAUGUUUAGUUUGUCUAGACUCAACCAUUAUAUUAUAUAGAUCUCACGGUGGCCAGUGAAAAAAACACCGUUAAUAAUGAAAAAAAAAUAAUAAAAAAAGUUGUCGGUGAUAGAUCAGUGGUUAAUUGUUGGAACUUUGAUGACUGAGAUAAAGAGAAUAAGGAUUCAGUGACUUAGAGAUUUUGAUUUUUUCUGUGCUGUGUUGUGUGAAAGUCGAUAAAAAAAGAUGAAGAAAAAACGUGUACACUGUUUUGCUUUUGCUCUGUGUGUAAUAGGUCAAUAAUUGCUUGACACCCGGAGCCGGAAGGAAUAUAAUUAUAUAUCCACUCCAAUCAUUCUCCGGCAUCAUUUUCCCGCAAAACAAGUUAGCGCGAAUUCACAAGACAUCGACUAAUUAAUUAUAAUUAAAAUGUAGAUAACCGGGACUAGAAACAAGCUCCCUGUGGGAUGUUUCAAGAAAUUGUACCCCCAGUAUCUCCGUUUAAUUAUGGUGUUUUUGUCUUUAAAAGCUUUGGAUUGUAACAAAUUUCGUUAUUCCUUGCUCUUAUCUGUAUCAGCUGGUAAAAAAAUUCAACGUUUCUUAAUGGUUUUGGUUAGUGAUAGUAAAAUAAUGUAAAUAAAAUAUAAAGAGAUCCAAUGAAAAAAAAAAGAAGAAGAAGAGAAAUGGAUUGCAUAAAAAAACAAAGCAAAAAAAAAAAGAAAAAGAAAAUAAAAACUACACAGAUACAUCAAAUCUUAAAUUACAACAUUUUCGGUAUUAUCAUAAAGAAUCUUAACAAAAUAAACUUGUUGACCAUAAAAAAUUAUUUUUUAAUGUCUUGGUGAUUCAUAGGCAUCGUUAAAAGUUAACAAAUCAAAAUUUUAAUUUUUUUUCCUUCUCUUUUAUCUAUUUGGGCUUGCAAGUCCAAUUUCAAAACAUAUUACAUUGCAAUCCAAGCGAGACCCAAAUUCAAAUCAAAUUAACCCAAUUUUCUUCGUUUCCACUACGAGCCUUAAGUUGGACCACAUCAAAAUCAAGAUUAGUCCAUAAUAACAGGCAGGUCCACAAGGAAGUGUUAGCAACAAAAACGCCCCAAGCCCAUUAUAAACAUUAAUCCAAUAUUAGCGGGCCAAAAGCCCAAGUAUUUAAUGGCCUUGUUCUCUAAAAGCAGCCCAGCAACAAAAGAUCAAGUGAAUAUUUGAAUUAGAGAAGAAAUAAUACGAUGAAGUGAAAGAAUCUUCAUCUUGUUGGACAGCCCGGUUUGACUCGGUUUGAAAUCUAACUUAUUAGAUAAUUAAGUUAAUUUAGAAGUAAUUGUGUCAUUUCAGUAAAUUAUUUUAUUCAAAACCAUGUUGUUUUAAUUUUUUUUGUUAAAAUUAUCUUGUCACAUCAACUUAUAGAAUUACACAAAUUUAUCUAGCUUAAUGUGCAAAACAAUUCAAAAUGAAACUCUACUUAAGUUAGAAUUGAUCCAAUAAAUAAUGAAACCAGAUGAAUGAUAGUCAAACUUUUUUUUUUGAUAUUUUUUGGGUGUUCGGGCCAGCUUGCGUGCACCUUGACUAAUCUCCAUAGUUUUAAAACUCGGCCCGGCGGGUCGACCCGGGCAUGGAACCGGUCCGGGUGGAGGCCAAAACCGGUCGACCCGGGACCCGGUUGACUCGGCAAGACCCGGCCACAAACCCGUUGACUUUUAUUUUUUUUGUUUUUUUUUGCUAAAACGACGUCGUUUUGUUUUUUUUUUAAAAAAUUAAAAAAUAAAUUUUGACCCGGCCGAGACCCGGUGACCCGGUCAAAACCCGGAACCCGGGCCUUGGACCGGGCCGGGUCUUAAAACUAUGCUAAUCCCACGGGCCCUGAAGUUAACGACCAUGUAAACCUCCAGUGGCUAUUAUAUGAGCAACCACAGGGCUCGAACCUAAAAUCACAGAGGGAGCAAACCAAAAAUAGAUAUAGCUACUGUUUUUUUAUUGUGUUUUAAAUGGGGUUUAGGUAAAAAUUGAAUUUUUUUAUUUAAAAUUAAUUUUUUUAAAAUGUUUUAUUAUUUUUAAGAAUUUUAUAUUAAAAAUAUUUUUUAAAAAAAAAUUAAAAAAUUAAAAAAUUUAUUUUAAUAUAUUAUAAAAUAAAAAUAUACUUUUAAAAAACUACUGGAACCACACUUUAAACAUCACUUUACUCACGGCACGUGAAAGAUUAUCGGGAGACACCUUUGCGCACAUGACCAAAAAGAAAACUAAGAAGGAUUACUCUUGUGUACGGAAAUGUUAGUCUUAGUGUCUAGAAUUGAAACAAAUCGAACCUUGACAAUGUACUGUAACAUGAUAAUUAAACGGAAUACCAGUCCCAUAAGAUGAAUAUUGAUUGUUACAUGUAUAGUAAGUUGUAAUGAAAUGAAAUAUAAAGUAAUAGAAGAAGGUGGAAACGAGAAUUCGUUUCUUCUUCAAUGAUUCAUCACAUUAAAUGAUCUACCAGCUGUAUGGAGGAGAAAGCCGCAACUUAUUCCAGUUCUGUGAAUUCAUCUGACGAUUGUGAGAAUCUUUUUGAUGACAAUGGUAUUCCCUUCACAUUUGGUACAUACACAUCAGAGUUGCUUCGACAAAAGAAUGGAAAAGGACAUGCGAUCCCUCCACAUAUGCUAGCACGACUCAAGCUACUGCGCCUCUUGAUUCGUGAAGAUUGUUUCAAGUUUUGUUUCUCGUAGCCGUCUGGUUUAUUUCUUGCAGGCUUGAUCAUCCAACUAUUUGAGCCUUUGUUAGUAUCUUCAUCGUUGUCAUCAUCAACAGCAUCAAGAAAUGCACCUAGUGUUGAAAAUGGUGGUGGAAUGUUUUUUUUUUUCUUGAAUUUGAGAGGAAUAAUGAUUUCCCGAUUAAGGAAAGGUUCCCUUAUGGAUGAAAAUUCUUGAUCAAUGCUGUUUCCUUUGCUUGUAUUGAUCUUGAUUAGAUUCAAGCUCUCAUGCCUUGAAUCCUUUCCAGUCAAGGUAGCAUCAAGACAUACCUGUGGAGGUGGACAUACAGGUUGUUCUUGUGCAUGUGUCAACGGAGGAAUAAUUUUCUUGAUUUCAAUAGGGGCGACGACCUCUUCCCAUUGAGGAAUUGUUCGUCUGCCAGUGGAGAUUCUAGAUUGAUGGUGUCGCUGUGAAAGCAAAAAUCUGAAUUCAGUGAACUUGAUUGGGGAGGGCGCUGUUCUAUCGGCGCAAUGUCUCUCUCGGAAAAAUCAUGAGAAAAAGAGAUUCUAGGACUCGCACAAGAAUCAUCCAAGCAUAAUUCAUUAGCCAUUACUUGAAAUUCUUGAAGAAAGCACAGCAAGAUUGUUCAAAGAAAACAACAAUUUCUGUUUUGAUGGUAAGCUAUCUAGAGGAGAAUGAAAGUCCUUGCAUUUUGAUCACCACAGGCACCUGCAGCACAUAAGAGAUGAUUAGUUUGCAUGGAAUACAAUUAAUUGAUCGAUCUUUAUUGCCAUGUGUAAUCCUGGCCUGAGUAAUUAAUAUAAUGGCUGAGCUCUCUACCUUCUGUUAAGAAAAUGCUUUCAUGUUUGUCGGUGCAUCUUAGUUCCAAGAAGAGUGUCUUUGAUUCGAUUCAGUUCAGCCACAACAUCGCCAAUGUCCAUCCUCUCUCCUGGAAGUUCUACUGAACAAGCAACUCCCAUCUUGAUAAUUGUCAUCAAACAUGCAAAUAUUUCAUGAGGUCCAAUAUGGUACAGGUCCAUUUCGUCAGAGGAAUUGACACUUCGGAUUUCUCUCACAAGUAACGGAUCCACGACUUCGACAAUGCGGUCUGGCAGUGCCAUUUUAGCAUAGCUGUGAAGGUUCAGCCCAUCUUUGAACAUGCCAUCUACAGGCCUCUUUCCAGUAAACAUCUCCAACAAUAGGAUGCCAUAGCUGUACACAUCACCGUAAGUGGACACCUUGCCUCCGAUACCAUAUUCUGCGAUUUAUAUACAUGGUUUGUACAAAGUUAUUUAUGACCUUGAAGACUAGAACAAAGAUUCAAAACACGGGGCAUUUCUUAACAUCCUAAAUCCAUCACGACGGAAAGAAAUUUCACAACCAGUAAAUAAUGAAAAACCAUGAGUGUUACCUGGGGCUGCGUAGCCGAUGGUGCCUUUCAAACCAACAGAGCUAGUUUGAUUUGAAGCUUCCGAAUGGAACCUCGCUAAUCCAAAGUCUCCAACACGAGCAGUCAUGUUAGUGUCUAGAAGAAUAUUGCUUGGCUUCAAAUCGCAAUGAAUGAUAGGCAUUUGACAAUGGUGAUGCAAAUAGUUCAGUGCGCUAGCCACAUGAAUUGCAAUGUUUAACCUAUGCCUGAGAUCCAAAGCUUUUGGCUCGCUUGCCUCGUCUGAUGUUUGAACUGGAUUCAACCACUCUUCUAGACUUCCAUUGACCAUGAACUCGUAAACUAGAGCUUUGAAAUCAUUACCUUGGAAAUCAAUGCUGGAACAUGUAGUCAAUAACCUGACAAGAUUCCGAUGCCUGAUGCUCUUCAAAGCUUCACAUUCUGCCAUAAAACUUCUGGAGGCUCCUUUACGUAGAAGGUUGAGAACUUUCACUGCAACGAGUAUGUUAUCUGGUCCAAGAAUUCCUUUGAAGACAGACCCAAAACUACCUUCACCAAUUAAAUUUGCUGAAGAGAACCCAUCAGUUGCCCCGAGGAGAUCUUGAUAGGCUACUCUAGGAAAUGAGGUCUCCAAUGAAGGCUGAGAAGCAGCAGGCUUAGCUUUCUUCUUUCUGAAGCAAUAGAAAAGCAAGAAAGAGACGAUCAAGAUCACUCCCAGAAAGCCACAAACACUUCCGAUUAUCCAUAUCAGCUUGGUCGGAGAUUUCGAAUUGGUUUGCUCACUGGAUGGGCAUCUGGUCAGAUUUAACUGGGGUAUUCCUCCACAAAGCUUCUUGUUUCCGAAAAUAGAAAUUGCACUUGUAUUCUGAAAGGCUCCUUGGACUGGCACCUCACCUUCAAGGUCAUUAAAAGAAAUAUCCAGACUCUCCAAUAACUUAAAGUCCUCCAAGAACUCAGGAAUUUGGCCUGUCAGGUUGUUGCAGGAGAGAUUAAGUUCUUGAAUUGCUCUCAAAGAACUCAAAGUGUUAGGGAUUGGCCCUUGCAAAAAGUUUUCCUCCAAAUGCAAACUUUCCAAACUCACACAACUACCAAGACUUUGAGGAAUUUCUCCAGAAAACCUGUUUUUAGAAACGUCCAGAUAUCCAAGAUUCACCAACUUCUCCAUUUCUAUCGGAAGAGAUCCUGUCAGCUCAUUCUCCGAUAGUACUAAGUACAUUGAUAAGGAUGGGAUACUAACUAGUUCUUUUGGAAUGGGACCACUCAAAUUAUUUUGCGAGAGAGCCAGGGACAAUAACUUUUGCCAAUUUCCCAGACUUGGUGGAAUGCUUCCCUCUAAAUUAUUGAGUCUCAUGUUAACUCUCCCUAAAGAAGUCAUAUUCCCCAUUGAAGAUGGGAUCAUCCCAGAGAUUUUGUUUCCAUUAAGAAAUAAAUCACUCAGCUUCUGUAGUUUCCCCAUAGAACUUGGUAUCAUGCCAGUCAAUUGAUUUGUUUCCAACCCUAAAGCCACCAAGUUGACGAGGUUUCCAAUUUCGGCUGGAAUGCUCCCACGGAUUUGAUUCCUCGCAAAUGUCAUCCUCAUAAGCUUUGUGGAGAAGUUGCUUACUAUUUCAGGAAGCACCCCUCCAAAAUUGUUAUCACUUGUAUCCAAAGCCUCCAAACUAGUCAUGUUAUUUGCUAAAGGAUAAACAAAAUUCAAGUCAUUAUUUUCACCUUUUCCCAGAUUAUUAUUACCAACACCAAAAACUUGCAAAUCACGUGAGCUUGACAGUGGUGGAACUUUUCCAUUGAAGUUGUUAUUUCCAAUUUGAAAAGAAAGGAGAUUUGAGGCAUUAGAGAAAGUUGUAGGAAUUAGUCCACCGAAUUGGUUAGUGUGGAUAUUAAACACUUGAAGGUUUGGAAGAGUUAGGCCCAAGGUAUGAGGAAGACUCCCAUAAAGCUGGUUAACUGGGAAAGAUAGUAGAGUAAGAGAAGAGAGAUUGAAUAUAGAAGGAGGAAUCAUGCCAGACAGAUUAUUUGCACCAAGCGCGAGUUUUUUCAAUCGUUUCAAUUGUCCAAAAACAUUCGGAAUACUUCCUUCCAAAUUAU